UACGUAGGGGGCUAGCGUUGUCCGGAAUCAUUGGGCGUAAAGCGCGUGUAGGCGGUUCGGUAAGUCCGCUGUGAAAGUCGGGGGCUCAACCCUCGAAUGCCGGUGGAUACUGUCGGACUAGAGUACGGAAGAGGCGAGUGGAAUUCCUGGUGUAGCGGUGAAAUGCGCAGAUAUCAGGAGGAACACCAAUAGCGAAGGCAGCUCGCUGGGACGGUACUGACGCUAAGGCGCGAAAGCGUGGGGAGCGAACAGG
rnacentral:rRNA from 1 species